GUGCUGGAUGGGGGAUUUGUGUGAGUUGACUUGCAGUUCUAGUUUAUUCAGGUUACACACGUUUCUUAUUUGUAAAUGCAGUUUUUAUGUGAAGUGUAGAUAUCACAUGAAUGAAUACUAAUAUCGUAAAAUAUAUCAUAUUUUUGUUAUUGGUUAAUAAAGUUCAUUUUAUUGGAAUUUUGUUUCCAGUGUAUAGAAAUGAAGAAACCAAUGGGAGCCCCUGCCAAAAGGAGGAGUGUGUCUUCAGUUGAGAUUGGUAGAAAAAAAGAAAAAAAAACAGUUUACCUACAUUAGAAUUUUAAUAAUUUUGCAAUUAAACCUUAAAAUGUGUAUUUCUGAACCCCUUUAUACUUUUUACUGGAAAAUCCCUUACAACAAUGCAUGCUGUUAUUGUUUUGUAAGUCUAGAAACAUGGCCCUAUUACAGAAGAUGCAUCUAUUUUUCAAGAGGAAUUAUAUGAUAUUGAAAUUAGACAGAUAUGCAAGUUACAUGUAAAAAGUAAAGUAACAAAAAUAUGGAACUCUGAGGAAAAUUAAAAAUGUAAUAGCGAAAUUAAAAGCUGAAAUACAUCAAGCAAAAAGAAAACAACUGUCAUAUUCCUGAC
rnacentral:lncRNA from 1 species